AUGGAGCUGUGUGAGGCUGCACAGGCUGCUGGCAUCAUCAUUGACCUUCAGGUGUUCAAGGUGGUGGCCCAGCUGCCCCGGCUCCUGGAGCAGACAAAUGCUACCAUCAGCCUUAAUGAGAAAAGCCUCUCUCUCUUUGCAGUGAACAAUGGUUCCUUUUCUCAGUCUAUACCGACACAACUGCCCUCCAUCUCUGAGGCUCUUGGAUCAACAGCCCGACUCACCUUCACCCUGAGGAGUGGCAUCAGUGUUGCUGGUAAAAACAUUUACUGGACCAGCAGGUGCAGGGAGCUCUCCUCGGUUUUCCUGCGCUACUACUCAGACUCAAACAUGCAGCUGGGGCCUGGAGUCACCAAUAGAGUCUCUGGAUCUAAAGAUGCCUCUCAAAAUGCUGCAAAUUUGCACAUCUCUGAGCUACAAUCAGAGGAUGAGGCUGACUAUUACUGCUCCAUCUCGGAAAAUAGUGUGUCUCACAGUGAUACAGGCAGAUGGGGAAGUAAGGCAUAA